GACGAACGCUGGCGGCGUGCUUAACACAUGCAAGUCGAACGGAAAGGCCCUGCUUUUGUGGGGUGCUCGAGUGGCGAACGGGUGAGUAACACGUGAUUAACCUGCCCUUGACUUUGGGAUAACUUCAGGAAACUGGGGCUAAUACCGGAUAGGAGCUCCUGCUGCAUGGUGUGGGUUGGAAAGUUUCGGCGGUUGGGGAUGGACUCGCGGCUUAUCAGCUUGUUGGUGGGGUAGUGGCUUACCAAGGCUUUGACGGGUAGCCGGCCUGAGAGGGUGACCGGCCACAUUGGGACUGAGAUACGGCCCAGACUCCUACGGGAGGCAGCAGUGGGGAAUAUUGCACAAUGGGCGGAAGCCUGAUGCAGCAACGCCGCGUGAGGGAUGACGGCCUUCGGGUUGUAAACCGCUUUCGCCUGUGACGAAGCGUGAGUGACGGUAAUGGGUAAAGAAGCACCGGCUAACUACGUG
rnacentral:rRNA from 1 species